GAUGAACGCUAGCGGCAGGCUUAAUACAUGCAAGUCGAGGGGCAGCAUGGUGUAGCAAUACACUGAUGGCGACCGGCAAACGGGUGCGGAACACGUACAGAACCUUCCUUCGAGCGGGGAAUAGCCCAGAGAAAUUUGGAUUAAUACCCCAUAGUAUAUUGGAGUGGCAUCACUUUGAUAUUAAAGAUUUAUCACUUGAAGAUGGCUGUGCGGCUGAUUAGGUAGUUGGCGGGGUAACGGCCCACCAAGCCUGCGAUCAGUAACUGGUGUGAGGACACGACCAGGCACACGGGCACUGAGACACGGGCCCGACUCCUACGGGAGGCAGCAGUAAGGAAUAUUGGUCAAUGGACGAAAGUUUGAACCAGCCAUGCCGCGUGGAGGAUGAAGGUCCUCUGGAUUGUAAACUUCUUUUAUAUGGGACGAAAAAAGGCUUUUCUAAGUCGUCUGACGGUACCAUAUGAAUAAGCACCGGCUAACUCCGUGCCAGCAGCCGCUGUAACAC
rnacentral:rRNA from 1 species